rnacentral:rRNA from 1 species
UACAGAGGUGGCAAGCGUUGUUCGGAAUUACUGGGCGUAAAGGGCGCGUAGGCGGUUCGUUAAGUCCUGUGUGAAAUCCCCCGGCUCAACUGGGGAACUGCACAGGAAACUAGCGGGCUUGAGUUCGGGAGAGGGAAGCGGAAUUCCGGGUGUAGCGGUGAAAUGCGUAGAUAUCCGGAGGAACACCGGUGGCGAAGGCGGCUCCUGGACCGG